rnacentral:rRNA from 1 species
UACGUAGGGUGCGAGCGUUAAUCGGAAUUACUGGGCGUAAAGCGUGCGCAGGCGGUUCGUUGUGUCGGCGGUGAAAGCCCCGGGCUUACCACUGGGAAUGGCCGUUGAAACUGGCGAACUGGAGUGUGGCAGAGGGGGGUGGAAUUCCGCGUGUAGCAGUGAAAUGCGUAGAGAUGCGGAGGAACACCGAUGGCGAAGGCAGCCCCCUGGGCUAACACUGACGCUCAGGCACGAAAGCGUGGGGAGCAAACAGG